CCCUUAGAUGUUCUGGGCCGCACGCGUGCUACACUGAUGCAUUCAACGAGUCUAAAACCUGGUCUGAUAGGGCUGGGUAACCUUUUGAAAGUGCAUCGUGAUAGGGAUAGACUAUUGCAAUUAUUGGUCUUCAACGAGGAAUUCCUAGUAGACGUAGUUCAUCAGACUGCAUCGAUUACGUCCCUGCCCUUUGUACACACCGCCCGUCGCUCCUACCGAUUGAAUGCUCAGGUGAGCCAUUCGGACUUUCAUCAUGCUGGUUUCCAGUUUUGAUGAAGGAAAGUCUUGCGAACCUUAUCAUUUAGAGGAAGGAGAAGUCGUAACA
rnacentral:rRNA from 1 species